AUUGAACGCUGGCGGCAUGCUUUACACAUGCAAGCCGAACGGUAACAGGCCGCAAGGUGCUGACGAGUGGCGAACGGGUGAGUAAUGCAUCGGAACGUGCCCAGUCGUGGGGGAUAACUACUCGAAAGAGUAGCUAAUACCGCAUACGAUCUAUGGAUGAAAGCGGGGGACCGUAAGGCCUCGCGCGAUUGGAGCGGCCGAUGUCAGAUUAGGUAGUUGGUGGGGUAAAGGCUCACCAAGCCAACGAUCUGUAGCUGGUCUGAGAGGACGACCAGCCACACUGGGACUGAGACACGGCCCAGACUCCUACGGGAGGCAGCAGUGGGGAAUUUUGGGCAAUGGGCGCAAGCCUGAUCCAGCAAUGCCGCGUGCAGGAAGAAGGCCUUCGGGUUGUAAACUGCUUUUGUACGGAACGAAACGGCUCUGGUUAAUACCCGGGGAUAAUGACGGUACCGUAAGAAUAAGCACCGGCUAACUACGUG
rnacentral:rRNA from 1 species